rnacentral:rRNA from 1 species
GAUGAACGCUGGCGGCGUGCCUAAUACAUGCAAGUCGAGCGAACAGAUGAGGAGCUUGCUCCUCUGAUGUUAGCGGCGGACGGGUGAGUAACACGUGGAUAACCUACCUAUAAGACUGGGAUAACUUCGGGAAACCGGGGCUAAUACCGGAUAAUAUAUUGAACCGCAUGGUUCAAUAGUGAAAGACGGUUUUGCUGUCACUUAUAGAUGGAUCCGCGCCGCAUUAGCUAGUUGGUAAGGUAACGGCUUACCAAGGCAACGAUGCGUAGCCGACCUGAGAGGGUGAUCGGCCACACUGGAACUGAGACACGGUCCAGACUCCUACGGGAGGCAGCAGUAGGGAAUCUUCCGCAAUGGGCGAAAGCCUGACGGAGCAACGCCGCGUGAGUGAUGAAGGUCUUCGGAUCGUAAAACUCUGUUAUUAGGGAAGAACAAAUGUGUAAGUAACUAUGCACGUCUUGACGGUACCUAAUCAGAAAGCCACGGCUAACUACGUG